rnacentral:lncRNA from 1 species
AGUGCCACCAGAGAAGCCGCGGACCCGGCCCGCAGAUAACACCCGGGCUUGCAGAGCGCUUUCAUCUGCCCGACGCGGAAAUCUCCUGCAGCGAUCUUCUACCUUCAGCGUGCAUCCGCAGCACCCAGAGGGCACGUUAAAGAGAGAUUGAGAACCACCAGCAAAACUGCUGAUUCAGUUCUUAUUUGAGACACUCCCCAAAACAAUGAAGCCAUCCUUGUAAUUAAAAGUGGCAACAGAAAACACCUGAAAAAAGGCCUCAAUCUGAACCAUGUCAGGAGGUUUAGAACACAAGAGGACUCACCCA